rnacentral:lncRNA from 1 species
GGCGGCCAUGCAUGCGCCAUCCCGCCGGCCGGCCAAUAAAUCAGGGAGCGUUUGGGUGGCCUACAGUGCGUACGUUUCGGAUAUUGAUUUCUUCGUGGAGUCUAGUGUUCGUGCGUGUGUGGUUGGUGGUAGUUGUUUGGUUUUGUUAGUGUGAGUGCGUCGUGGGUGCCGUGUACUCCUGUGUGUGUGUCAAGUGUUGCCACCUGCGAUUCCAUUUUCAUUCCGUGCGAUGAAUAAAUUAAGAAGGGGUCUUCUGGACGCGUCUAGCGGGCGCACGGCCGCCUAGGAUGCUUAGCGAGCGGCCCGACACUUCAGAUAAUUUCUUGUCUCUCCUUUUAACUAGAAUAGUCAUCUAGUAGUCCCUUUUUCUGCUAUGUAUUAAAUGUCAACAUAUGUAUCUCCUCCUAUGCAUGUGUUUGUUCGUAUUUAUUUUGUGAUUUUAAAAUUUAAAAAGGCAUAACUUUCAAUCCGUGUCUUAAAAUUAAGAUCCGUUUUCACCGUUGAAACUCUUGCGACGUGCUCUUUAAAAGUAGAUCCUACAUGGGAUGUUUUGAUGAACUAGUCUUCCUGCCAGCUAAAUAUCAAUAUGUGUGCAACUAGACUACAUGCCGCGCCAAAUGAGUAUGUGUGUCAAUUGUCCUUUUGCUAACUAAACAUCAAUGUGUGUGCAACUAGACUACAUUGCCGCGCCAACUGAGCAUAUGUGUGUGCCAAUAAUCCUGCCAACUAAACAUCAAUGUGUGUACAACUAGACUAUAUUGGCGCGUCAAUUGCGCAUAUGUGUGUGCAAUUAGUGUCCUGCCAACUGAACAUCAGUAUGUGUGCAACUAGACUAAAUUACAAGCCAACUAAGCAUAAGUGUGUGCAACUAGUCCUUCUGCCAAUUAAACAUCAAUGUGUGUAACUAUACUACAUUACAAGCCAACUAAACAUCAAUGUGUGUGCAACUAGACUAUAUUACAAGCCAACUGAGCACAAAGUAGCUGAAUAUAAAACACCCCGAUUACAUCAAGCUCCGUCAGGUCUGCUGCGGCACUGUCGGACGCGUUGAGGAGGUUGGACUUGAGCGCGGUCAGGCUCUCGGGGAAGAGGAGGGGCCGGAGUCGGAGGAUGUCGUCGGAGAGAGGAGUUUGCGGAGGAGGACAGCAGCCAUGGUGCGGAGCUCGGCGAUGGACGGGUCGAAGGAGGCCCAUAGUAGGGACAAGGCUUGCAAUCCACUACUAGAUAGUUGGUCGGGAUAGUAGACUAAUUGCACAUCAAGUUGUUAUGGUUGGUAGGUUGCAACCUCAUAUGAAGUUAGAUCAUGUAGCUCCAAAGAUGGUUUUAAAAAAAGUUGCACCAUGUAGUAUUAAAAUUGCACAAUACAGUACUUUUAGUUUCACCAUAUAGCACCAAAGUUGGCAUAUAAAAAAUUCGUCGAAACAUAUCAUGCGGGAUCUAGUUUUGAAGAUCUCGUCGCGAUGAAUCCAACGGUGAAAACGGAUCUGAAUUCCGACAUGUGGUUUAAAAGAUAUGACUUUUUAAAAAUUUAAGAGGCCAAAAAUAAAUGUGCAUGAAUCUGUUUCCAAGACUAGUCUGUACGCAUUUAAUCCUAACAAAAACAUCCACUAGCUGACGAAAAAACACACGUAUGAGUAACAAGCCGGCCGCCUGUUUCUACGAAAUAGUGCGCGUGCACUUUAAAGGUUUUAAGUUGUUUAAUUAGGGGCUGUCUACCAAACAUCCACAAAGGCACACUGAUGCGGAAGCAGAGUCUUUGCGAUCCGCUAAAUCGUGGGAUUCUCCAUAUAUUUUAAGUUUGAUUUUUUUAAAAAACUUGAUGAUUAAACUUGUGGGAUUUCUCGCAUGUUUAAGUUUUGAAUUUCGAAACCUGAUGAUUUUAUUGUUCACUUCUAGUAUUAUGUUUGUUGGGAAUCGUAGCAUAAUUUAAAAUUUUCCUACGCUCACCAAGAUGCAUCUAUGGAGUCUACUAGCAACGAGGGGAAAGGAGUGCAUCUACAUACCCUUGUAGAUCGCGAGCGGAAGCGUUCCAAUGAACGUGGAUGACGGAGUCGUACUCGCAGUGAUCCAAAUCACCGAUGACCGAGUGCCGAACAGACGGCACCUCCGCGUUCAACACACGUACGGUGCAGCGACGUCUCCUCCUUCUUGAUCCAGCAAGGGGGAAGGAGAGGUUGAUGGAGAUCCAGCAGCACGACGGCGUGGUGGUGGAUGUAGCGGGUCUCCGGCAGGGCUUCGCCAAGCUUCUGCGAGAGAGAGAGGUGUUGCAGGGGAGGAGGGAGGCGCCCAAGGCUGUGGUUUGCUGCCCUCCCUCCCCCUCACUAUUUAUAGGACCCCUGGGGGGCGCCAGCCCUUGGGAGAUCAGAUCUCCAAGGGGGGCGGCGGCCAAGUGGGGGAAAGGGGGUGCCUUGCCCCCCAAGGCAAGGGGGAAAGCUCCCCCUAGGGUUCCCAACCCUAGGCGCAUGGGGGGAGGCCCAAGGGGGGCGCCCCAGCCCACUAAGGGCUGGUUCCCUUCCACUUUCAGCCCACGGGGCCCUCCGGGAUAGGUGGUCCCACCCGGUGGAUCUCCGGGACCCUUCCGGUGGUCCCGGUACAAUACCGGUAACCCCCGAAACUUUCCCGGUGGCCGAAACUGGACUUCCUAUAUAUAAUUCUUCACCUCCGGACCAUUCCGGAACCUCUCGUGACGUCCGGGAUCUCAUCCAGAACUCCGAACAACUUUCGGGUUUCCGCAUACAUAUAUCUCUACAACCCUAGCGUCACCGGACCUUAAGUGUGUAGACCCUACGGGUUCGGGAGACAUGCAGACAUGACCGAGACGCCUCUCCGGUCAAUAACCAACAGCGGGAUCUGGAUACCCAUGUUGGCUCCCACAUGCUCCACGAUGAUCUCAUCGGAUGAACCACGGUGUCGAGGAUUCAAUCAAUCCGUAUGCAAUUCCCUUUGUCAAACGGUAUGUUACUUGCCCGAGAUUCGAUCGUCGGUAUCCCAAUACCUUGUUCAAUCUCGUUACUGGCAAGUCUCUUUACUCGUACCGCAAUGCAUGAUCCCGUGACUAACGCCUUAGUCACAUUGAGCUCAUUAUGAUGAUGCAUUACCGAGUGGGCCCAGAGAUACCUCUCCGUCACACGGAGUGACAAAAACCCAGUCUCGAUCCGUGCCAACCCAACAGACACUUUCGGAGAUACCCGUAGUGCACCUUUAUAGUCACCCAGUUACGUUGUGACGUUUGGCACACCCAAAGCACUCCUACGGUAUCCGGGAGUUGCACGAUCUCAUGGUCUAAGGAAAAGAUACUUGACAUUGGAAAAGCUCUAGCAAAUGAAACUACACGAUCUUUUAUGCUAUGCUUAGGAUUGGGUCUUGUCCAUCACAUCAUUCUCCUAAUGAUGUGAUCCCGUUAUCAAUGACAUCCAAUGUCCAUAGUCAGGAAACCAUGACUAUCAGUUGAUCAACGAGCUAGUCAACUAGAGGCUUACUAGGGACACGUUGUGGUCUAUGUAUUCACACAUGUAUUACGAUUUCCGGACAAUACAAUUAUAGCAUGAAUAAUAGACAAUUAUCAUGAACAAAGAAAUAUAAUAAUAACCAUUUAUUAUUGCCUCUAGGGCAUAUUUCCAACAGUCUCCCACUUGCACUAGAGUCAGUAAUCUAGUUCACAUCACCAUGUGAUUAACACUCACUGGUCACAUCACCAUGUGACCAACAUCUAAAGAGUUUACUAGAGUCAACAAUCUAGUUCACAUCACUAUGUGAUUAUCACUCAAUGUGUUCUGGUUUGGUCAUGUUAUGCUUGUGAGAGAGGUUAUUAGUCAACGGGUCUGAACCUUUCAGAACCGUGUGCUUUACGAAUAUCUAUGUCAUCUUUGUGGAUGCUACCACGCGCUAUUUGGAGCCAUUUCAAAUAAUUGCUCUACUAUACGAAUCCGGUUUCCUACUCAGAGUCAUCCGGAUUAGUGUCAAAGUUCGCAUCGACGUAACCCUUUACGACGAACUCCUUUCCACCUCCAUAAUCGAGAAAAUUCCUUAAUCCACUAGGUACUAAGGAUAAGUUCGACCGCUGUCAUGAGAUCCUUUCCCGGAUCACCAUUGUACCCUCUUGACCAACUCAUGGCAAGGCACACUACAUGUGCGGUACACAGCAUAGCAUACUAUAGAGCCUAUGUCUAAAGCAUAGGGGACGACCUUCGUCCUUUCUCUAUCUUCCGCUGUGGUCAGGUCUUGAGUCUCACUCAAUACUCACACCUUGUAACACAGCCAAGAACUCCUUCUUUGUUGAUCUAUUUUGAACUCUUUCAAAAUCAUGUCAAGGUGUGCUGUCUUUUGAAAGUAUCAUCAGGCAUCUUGAUCUAUCUCUAUGGAUCUUGAUGCCCAAUAUGUAAGCAGCUUUAUCCAAGUCUUCCUUUGAAAAACUCCUUUCAAACAACCCUUUAUGCUUUCCAGAAAUUUUACAUCAUUUCGGAUCAACAAUAUGUCAUUCACAUAUACUUAUCAGAAAUGUUGUAGCGCUCCCACUCACUUUAUUGUAAAUACAAGUUUCUAACAAACUUUGUAUAAACCCAAAAAAAAACUUUGAUCACCCCAUCAAAGCGUAUAUUCUGACUCCGAGAUGCUUGCUCUAAUCCAUGGAAGGAUCGCUGGAGC